rnacentral:rRNA from 1 species
CCUACGGGUGGCUGCAGUGGGGAAUAUUGCACAAUGGGGGAAACCCUGAUGCAGCGACGCCGCGUGAGUGAAGAAGUAUUUCGGUACGUAAAGCUCUAUCAGCAGGGACGAAGAACCGGCCUUAGGGCCGCCAGACGGUACCUGACUAAGAAGCCCCGGCUAACUACGUGCCAGCAGCCGCGGUAAUGCGUAGGGGGCAAGCUUUAUCCGGAUUUACUGGGUGGAAAGGGAGAGUAGACGGCAGCGAAAGGCGGGAGUGAAAUGCCGGGGCCCAACCCCGGAACUGCUUUGGAAACUGUGCAGCUGGAGUGCAGGAGAGGUAAGCGGAAUUCCUAGUGUAGCGGUGAAAUGCGUAGAUAUUAGGAGGAACACCAGUGGCGAAGGCGGCUUACUGGACUGUAACUGACGUUGAGGCGCGAAAGCGUGGGGAGCAAACAGGAUUAGAUACCCUUGUAGUC